AGUGAACGCUGGCGGUAGGCCUAACACAUGCAAGUCGAACGGCAGCACAGUAAGAGCUUGCUCUUACGGGUGGCGAGUGGCGGACGGGUGAGGAAUACAUCGGAAUCUACUUUUUCGUGGGGGAUAACGUAGGGAAACUUACGCUAUUACCGCAUACGACCUACGGGGGAAAGCAGGGGAUCUUCGGACCUUGCGCGAUUGAAUGAGCCGAUGUCGGAUUAGCUAGUUGGCGGGGUAAAGGCCCACCAAGGCGACGAUCCGUAGCUGGUCUGAGAGGAUGAUCAGCCACACUGGAACUGGGACACGGUCCAGACUCCUACGGGAGGCAGCAGUGGGGAAUAUUGGACAAUGGGCGCAAGCCUGAUCCAGCCAUACCGCGUGGGUGAAGAAGGCCUUCGGGUUGUAAAGCCCUUUUGUUGGGAAAGAAAAGCAGCAGGUUAAUACCCCGCUGUUCUGACGGUACCCAAAGAAUAAGCACCGGCUAACUUCGUG
rnacentral:rRNA from 1 species